GCACUCACUUCAGCAUUACGUAUACUAAAAUUAAAACAAUAAAGAGAUUAGCAUGAUCUCUGUGCAAGGAUGACAUGCAAAUUCAUGAAGCCUUCCACAUUUUU
ensembl:snRNA U6 U6 spliceosomal RNA